GUGCUUGGGUAGCUCAGUUGGUAGAGCGCUUGCCUUUGAAAGGCAAAGGUCGUGAGUUCGAGUCUCGGCCUUGCACA